GAGGAGAGGAGAGGAGAGGAGAGGAGAGGAGAGGAGAGGAGAGGAGAGGAGAGGAGAGGAGAAAGAGGAGAGAAGAGAAGAGAAGAGAAGAGAAGAGAAGAGAAGAGAAGAGAAGAGAAGAAGAGAAGAGAAGAGAAGAGAAGAGAAGAGAAGAGAAGAGAAGAGAAGAGAAGAGAAGAGAAGAGAAGAGAAGAGAAGUGAAGAGAAGAGAAGAGCGAAAAGAAAAGAAAAGAAAAGAAAAGAAAAGAAAAGAAAAGAAAAGAAAAGAAAAGAAAAGAAAAAAAGAAAAGAAAAAAAGAAAAGAAAAGAAAAAAGAAGACAAAGUCAUAAGAAAACCCACCCCCAUGGAAACAAGCGAACAGAAACCGAAAUAAAUGCAUAAAUCUUUAUCUCAAGAGGAAGGUUCCAGUCAAAAAUCAGGGGCAAAUUCAUAAAACAUGGGACAGGUUCCUUCACUCAAAGAAAAUGAUAGACUCCUCUAAUGAGGGGUGUCUGACACUGGAGAUAAAGAAGAGAAGAAUGUACCAACUCUGCAGCAGAAAGUGCAUCAACUGAAAAUAUUUACUGUUGCUAUUAAAAAUGAAUUAACAAAAAACAGGUGGCCUUUUAAUUGAAGCCUUUAUCACACUUUGCUCCAUUUCAUUUAAAUGCAAAUUUGAAAUCCUUUCUCUAAGCCAAUAGAAAGUUGAAACUGAACAUGAACACUGCUUUACUAAUGAUGCAAUUAUGUGGCAUACCAUUAGGCUUAAUAUGAAAUACCACACAUACUGGAAAUAUUAAGACAUCCAGUGAGGAUCCUCUUCUUUGCUUUUAAAAGUAUUUUAAACAAGUAUCUUAUAAGCUGUUUAACUGAAUUUUAAUACGACAUACUUUGUCUGUGCUUGAUAAGGAAUAACUUCUAGUGCAUUUAGUGAAGAUUUCUCUGCAAUGAAAAUACUUUGAACUACAGAGCUGUUAUAACCAGGGCCAAGCAAAUAGACUCCAUGAUGACCAGUUGCAGCAUUUGGAGUGAAGAUUAAUUUCCUUCAGCACUGCAUGAGUAAAACAUCCAGACGUAUUCACAUUGUAUUGUGAAUCCCACCCAGGUGGAAAUGACUACAUAAACUGUAAAAAAGUGAAGAACUAGAUUGCAUGUGUGCACAUAUACAAAAGGGAACAGCCAAGAGCCCGUCCAGAUGCCACACUCCAACCAAAGGAUCAUGAUGACAGCCCAUGAUCUCCUGCCUUCAUACAGCAUCUUCAGAAAGGAAAAGAAGUCCAUAUCCACCUGCAGGGAGCAGGAAGAGGCUUGCUGUGUGUCACAGAGAAGUCAGAGCAGAAGGAAGAACAGCAAGAACUUCUGAGUCCAAGCCUCACCCUAGAUACUUAUACUUUUCAGAUGUAUUUGCAUAGUGAGGUACAACAUGCUAAUAUUCAUAUCUUUAAAAAGGACCUUCCUGUUUUAUUUCACUUUUUUUUUUUUUUUUCUCUAGUUAGAAUUAUAGAAUCAUCAUACAAUCAUAAUAGAAUCAUUAAGGUUGGAAAAGACCUUCAAGAUCAUCUGGUCUAACCAUCACCCUACUACCAAUGACACCCACUAAACCAUGUCUCUAAGUACCAGGUCCAACCUUUCCUUGAACGCCCCCAGGGACAGUUACUCCACCACUUCCCUGGACAACCCGUUCCAAUGCCUGACUACUCUUUUUGAGAAGAAAUGUCUCCUAAUUUCUAACUAAACCUCCCCUCGUACAACUUGAGGCCAUUCCCUCUAGUUCUGUCACUGGUUAUCUGUAAGAAGAGGCUGACCUCCAGCUCCCCACAACUUCCUCUCAGGUAGUUGUAGAGAGCAACAUUUGAAUGUCAAUAUUUCUGCUGUUUUGUUUUUAAUUUACAUAUU